UACUAGAGUAGCACUCGCAUAUCAAUAAGCGGAGGAAAAGAAACUAACAAGGAUUCCCCUAGUAACGGCGAGUGAAGCGGGAAGAGCUCAAAUUUGAAAUCUUAAAGGGUUUCCCUUUACGAAUUGUAGUUUAAAGAAGUGUUUUCUGUUGAGGGUUUGGUAAAAGUUCUUUGGAAUAGGACAUCAUAGAGGGUGAGAAUCCCGUAUUUGACCUUUACUUUCAACUUUGUGAUACACUUUCAAAGAGUCGGAUUGUUUGGGAAUGCAGUCCAAAAUGGGUGGUAAAUUUCAUCUAAAGCUAAAUAUUGGCGAGAGACCGAUAGCGAACAAGUACCGUGAGGGAAAGAUGAAAAGAACUUUGAAAAGAGAGUUAAACAGUACGUGAAAUUGUCAAAAGGGAAGCGUUUGACACCAGUGUUGUUUUUCUGAAAAUCAAUUAAAGAACUGUUUAUGCUAAGCUGUUUAGACUUUAUCAGCUAUCUGUUUAGUUUUGAGCUUUUCUUUAAUGCACUUUUCAGUUAACAAGUCAACAUCAAUUUCUUUUGCUGUAAAAAAGCUUGAGGAAGGUGGCUUGAGAUUCGUCUUAAGUGUUUAUAGCCUCUUGCCUAUGCAGUCGGAGAGAUUGAGGUCUGCAGCGUAGAUCCUUCGGGGCUAAAUGCAUUUGUGCUAAGUUAUAGCAUUUUAUAGACAACUUGUUGACUAUGAUUUGUCUUGUAGCUUACUCGCUUAUGUUAUUUUACCUACGCUUAGGAUGUUGAACUCUAUCACACACAG
rnacentral:rRNA from 1 species